rnacentral:rRNA from 1 species
CCCUUAGACGUUCUGGGCCGCACGCGCGCUACACUGACACAGGCAACGAGCUUUCCUUUACCGAAAGGUAUGGGUAAUCUUUUGAAACUGUGUCGUGCUGGGGAUAGAUCCUUGCAAUUUUUGAUCUUAAACGAGGAAUUCCUAGUAAGCGCGAGUCAUCAACUCGCGUUGAUUACGUCCCUGCCCUUUGUACACGCCGCCCGUCGCUACUACCGAUUGAAUGGCUUAGUGAGGCCUCAGGAUCCGCGCUUAAUGUGUGGAGAAUUUGGACAAACUACGUCAUUUAGAGGAAGUAAAAGUCGUAACA